CACAGUGAUAAAUUUAACGGCCGCGGUACCCUGACCGUGCGAAGGUAGAUAAACACUUGUCCCUUAAAUAGGGACUAGCAUCAACGGCAUCCCUUAAGGCUGAACUGUCUCUUUUCUCCAAUCAGUGAAACUGAUCUCCCCGUGAAAAAGCGGGAAUUAAAUUAUAAGACGAGAAGACCCCAUGGAGCUUUAGGUAAUGUAUUCACCUAAAUUUGCUAUACCAACUAAAUAUAACAGCCUGAUUAUUAACCUUAGGUUGGGAGGACCGCGGAGUACAACUAAACCUCCACAACAAAAAGGCAGCACCUUUAUCCACGAGCUACAGCUCUAAGAAUUAAAAUAUUAAUGUCCAAUGACCCGACAAUUCGAUCAACGAACCAAGUUACCCUGGGGAUAACAGCACAAUCUGCUUAAAGAGCUCAUAUCGACAAGCAGGUUUAUGACCUCGAUGUUGGAUCAGGGUAUCCCAGUGGUGCAGCCGCUACUAUAGGUUUGUUUGUUCAACAAUUAAAACCCUACGUGAUC
rnacentral:rRNA from 1 species